UAGAAAGUUGAAACAAUAACCUAACCUUUUUCGCUUCAAUUCCACCGCUAACGCAGCCUCUUAUUACCCGCAAAACAAAUUUUAAUUUUAUUCUUUCUUUUCUUCAUCCAACAACAGCAGAGUCACCGAUUACGUUCUCUAAAAUUCACUCCCAAAAAAUUCUAUUUGAUUCCACCGAAACCCUAACCCCCUUUCGACGAACGAACCGCAAUCACUUGCUCGCUCCUUUGAUCCAUUGUUGAAAUUCUCGUUAUCGCUCUUCGAACUCAAGCUCUCUCGCUAGCGAUUUCUACUUCUGCACCAAUUUCUGCGUUUUCUCAAGGCUUGUCUGCCCUAAGAUAUGGAUGAAGAUCAAGAGAUGGAGAGAUUUGGAAUGGAGAAUGAUUAUGAGGGUGGCCAAUGGAUUGGCGGCGAGUUUUACUAUAAGAAUCGUAAAGAAAAACGCACUCAGACCAAGGAUGAUGUUCUUUAUGGAGUUUUUGCAGAUUCUGAUGACAAUGACGACGAUGAUUAUCCGAGUAGAAAACGGAGGAAAGAUUUUUCGAAGAAGCCAGACCUCACCAAGCCUGUGAAUUUUGUGUCUACAGGCACUUUUAUGCCUAAUCAGGAAAUUGAUAACAAGUCCAAAGAGCAGGAUGAGAAAGACGGUUAUGUUAGUGAGGAUAGGCCAGGGUUAGGUUUAGGUUUUGGUAUGGGGUCUGGUUUAGGUUUUAAUUCUGGUAAUGCUGCGAAUGGUUCUAAUAGAAAUGAUGAUUCUGAUGAGAAUGAUGAUAAUAGUUUCUUGCCUACAGCGUUUGGGAAGAAGAUUAAGGAGGGGGCGAUGAGAAGGGAAAGGGAACGGGAGAGGGAGAGGUUGGAGAAGAAGAGGGGGAAGCAUCAGAGUGCAGGUCAAGAUGUGUCUGGUGAUGUUGGAAAAUUCGAGAAGCAUACGAAAGGGAUAGGAUUGAAGCUGUUGGAAAAGAUGGGUUAUAAAGGAGGCGGGCUUGGAAAGAAUGAGCAAGGUAUUCUGGCUCCUAUUGAGGCGAAAUUGAGGGCCAAGAAUUCUGGCAUUGGGUUUAAUGAGUCUAAGGAGACUAUGCCGCUGCCUGUUUUGCAGCAAGAGAAAAAGAAUGUGCCGGAAAUCACCCAACCUGUGGUUGGCAGAAUGAAGGAGAGGUUAUGGUCAAAGCAAGCAAGGUCGAAGAAGAAAAAGGAGGAACAAUAUAUAACUGCAGAGGAGUUGUUGGCCAGCAAGCAAGAACAAGAGUUGGAGGUUGUUCAGAAGGUUUAUGAUAUGAGGGGGCCACAGGUUCGAGUAUUAACAAAUUUGUCUGAUUUAAAUGCCGAGGAGAAAGCAAAAGAAAAUGAUGUCCCGAUGCCAGAACUUCAGCAUAAUGUUGCGUUAAUAGUUCGGUUGGCUGAGGCUGACAUCCAAGAGAUUGAUAGAGAUUUGAGGAGAGAGAGGGAGACAGCACUUAGCUUGAAAAAUGAAAAAGAGAAGUUAGAAACAGAGACAGUGUUUCAAAAGAAGCAGCUGGAUAAUAUGGAGGAAAUAAUGAGUGUGUUGGACCGUGUUGGAGAAGAAAACACUUUGGGAACAUUAACAUUGGAUUCUCUGGCUCAAUACUUUAGGGACUUACUCAAAAGAUCUGCUGAUAACUACAAGUUGUGUAACUUGUCAUGCAUUGCUUGCUCAUAUGCUCUACCUCUAUUUAUCAGAGUGUUCCAAGGAUGGGAUCCUCUUCGAAAUCCUUCUCAUGGGUUGGAGUUGGUGUCACAGUGGAAGGCAUUGCUUGAAGGAGAAGAUUAUUUUGAUAUAUGGGAUGUAUCAUCACCUUAUACUCAAUUGGUUUCAGAGGUUGUAUUGCCAGCUGUCAGAAUAUCUGGUAUUAAUACCUGGCAGGCACGGGAUCCUGAGCCAAUGUUAUGGUUUCUGGAAUCGUGGGAAAAGUUACUUCCUUCUUCAGUCCUUGCUACCAUAUUAGACAAUAUAGUCAUGCCAAAAUUAUCUAGUGCUGUAGAUACUUGGGAACCACACCGUGAGACCAUUCCUAUUCACACUUGGGUGCAUCCAUGGCUACCUUUGCUGGGGAACAAGUUGGAGGGUAUUUACCAGGUGAUUCGUUUUAAAUUGAGUACUGUUCUUGGUGCCUGGCACCCAAGUGAUGGUUCUGCUUAUGCUAUAUUGUCUCCUUGGAAGACUGUAUUUGAUUCUGCAAGUUGGGAACAACUUAUGCUUCGUUUUAUUGUACCGAAGCUGCAGCUUGUCUUGCAAGAGUUCCAGGUGAACCCGGCAAGUCAGAAUAUUGAUCAGUUUUAUUGGGUUAUGAACUGGGCUUCUGCUAUUCCUAUUCACCUGAUGGUUGAUAUGAUGGAUAAAUUCUUCUUUGCCAAAUGGCUUCAGGUUUUGUAUCAUUGGUUGUGCUCAAAUCCUAAUUUCGAAGAAGUUACAAAAUGGUAUUUGGGAUGGAAAGAACUCAUUCCAAAAGAACUGUUGGCAAAUGAAAGUAUCAGAUACCAGCUUAAUCGCGGUCUUGAUAUGAUGAACCAGGCUGUUGAAGGUAUGGAGGUGGUCCAACCUGGUUUAAAAGAGAAUAUAAGCUAUCUUAGGGUACUUGAGCAAAGGCAAUUUGAGGCUCAACAGAAAGCAGCAGCCUAUACUCUACAGCAAGCUGCUGCUAGCUUGGGUGGUGCGGUCAACGCAGAUGGUGCUCAUGAAUUGAGCUUGAAAGAAGUCAUUGAGGCUCAUGCUCAGCAACAUGGUUUGCUAUUCAAGAUUAAACCUGGUAGAAUGCACAAUGGUCAUCAAAUAUAUGGGUUUGGUAAUGUCAGCAUAAUAAUAGAUUCCCUAAAUCAAAAGGUAUAUGCCCAAAAUGAAGAAAUGUGGUCUUUGGAAUCUCUUCAUGGUUUGCUAGAGUUGCAUAAUAAAUCCCUUAGUAAAAGAUGCUGAAUUCUGCAUUUGCCAAAUGUGAAGUAUCUCAAUUCUCAGGUGUUUAUAAACCAUGGUACUUCAGCUGCUGCAUAAAUGAGUCAUUCUCACAGUCAGAUGAUGGCCCUGCCAAUUAUUCCAAGUAGUAUUUCUGCCCAUCUUGCAAAUAUCAUUUUGAUCAAACAGGGGAAAUGUUUUAUUUAUGAAAUUCAUCGUGAAGAUCUUUUGAUUGAUUCAUCUACCAACUUCCUUUUGCUGCUACAUUUCCUUUUGGGAUAUGGAUUGUUUCUCGGCAGUUGAACUUGGAGGUUUGUUGAAAAUAAUGCUCAGGAAGAUGUCUUUGCAGUUGAACAAUCAACCAUUCAAUUUUAUGAUUCACACUAGUCCAAUUCAAGACAACGGGUCAUAGUUAGCAUACACUCAUUGGUUUAUACAGAUAAUACCUCAAUUGGGAUUGCGGGUUUUGAGCUGGGAACCGGGAGCUGCAUAAAUACUUAGUUCCCCGAGGAUGCUGCAAAGGUUCUAAGGGAAGUGAAUGUUCCAUGGUCAGAAUAAAGGGUGUAGAAACAUGUUGGUAACCUAAUCUCAAACUUCUAAGGUAAUAAUUUUUUUUAUUCCCAUGUAUGAGGGUCAAGCUUUUCUGUUACAAAUUUUAUACCCUGAGCUUCCUGGUGGAAGGAGUUGUGGCUCUCAUGUGUCAUUGAUAUUUGUCCUGAAUCCAUGAGGUAUUUGAAAUUCGAAAUAAUGUAUUCAUUGUGUAUUGGAUUCAUUGAGCAAACGAUUAUGCCAAAAGAGGAAAGGCAACUGCAUUUUUGAUAAUUUUGAUGUCCUUUUGGGGAUAUGGUGAGGGACUGAGGGUAUCUAUUUACCCUGCUUAUGCUUCAAUAGACCAAGUGUGUGUUUGGACGCUGAGCAAAAAAAAAGUGUGUUUGGACAAACGCAGGUACAGUAACAAAAUCGUCAUAUCUGUUCAGUUA